CCAAACUUGGUCAUUUAGAGGAAGUAAAAGUCGUAACAAGGUUUCCGUAGGUGAACCUGCGGAAGGAUCAUUACCGAAUGUCAAUGGCAAUCAACUGUGCUGGCAUUUGCUUGCAUGUGCACGUUGAUUGCAAACAUCCACACACCUUGUGAAUUUAUUGGACCUCUGAAGAGUUCGUUUGCUUGGUGCCCAUUUGAGCCUGCCCUUGGGAGGGCUUGUGGGUUUGCCGGGUUGGCUAGAGCUUUCUGGGGGUAAUUUUUACACACACGUUUGCAUGUACUCGAGAUUGCUUGUAUGCACUUUGUGCUUAAAAACACAACUUUCAACAACGGAUCUCUUGGCUCUCGCAUCGAUGAAGAACGCAGC
rnacentral:misc_RNA from 1 species